GUCCUUGCCUUAAACGAUGUAUACUUGGUGUAGUUAGGCUCAACCCUGACUGUACCGUAGCCAACGCGAUAAGUAUACCGCCUGGGGAGUACGCUCGCAAGGGUAAAACUCAAAAGAAUUGACGGGGACCCGCACAAGCAGUGGAGCAUGUGGUUUAAUUCGAUGCAACGCGAAGAACCUUACCUGGAUUUGACAUGCAGCUGACGGCCACAGAAAUGUGGAAUUCUCGCAAGAGACAGUUGCACAGGUGCUGCAUGGCUGUCGU
rnacentral:rRNA from 1 species